rnacentral:rRNA from 1 species
ACGGAGGGUGCAAGCGUUAAUCGGAAUCACUGGGCGUAAAGCGCGUGUAGGCGGCUUUUUAAGUCGGACGUGAAAGCCCUCGGCUCAACCGGGGAAUUGCGUUCGAUACUGGGAGGCUUGAGUCCUGGAGAGGGUGGCGGAAUUCCGGGUGUAGGAGUGAAAUCCGUAGAUAUCCGGAGGAACACCGGUGGCGAAGGCGGCCACCUGGACAGGUACUGACGCUGAGACGCGAAAGCGUGGGUAGCAAACAG